AACGAACGCUGGCGGCGUGGAUAAGACAUGCAAGUCGAACGGGACAAGUAGCAAUAUUUGUCUAGUGGCGAACGGGUGCGUAACACGUGGGCAACAUGCCUGGAAGAGCGGGAUAGCCCGGGGAAACUCGGAUUAAUACCGUAUGUGACAACGGGGCGGAUUCGCCCUGUUUUCAAAGGUGGGGACCGCAAGGCCUGCCGCUUCCAGAUUGGCCCGCGUCCUAUCAGCUAGUUGGCGGGGUAACGGCCCACCAAGGCGACGACGGGUAGCUGGUCUGAGAGGACGACCAGCCACACUGGAACGGGGCAACGGUCCAGACACCUACGGGUGGCAGCAGUCGAGAAUGUUUCACAAUGGGGGACACCCUGAUGGAGCGACGCCGCGUGGAGGAUGACGGUCUUCGGAUUGUAAACUCCUGUCAUGAAAGAACAAGCGGAGCGGGUGAACAGCCCGCCGAGUUGAUAGUAUUUCAAGAGGAAGGGACGGCUAACUUCGUGCCAGCAGCCGCCGUAACAC
rnacentral:rRNA from 1 species